GACGAACGCUGGCGGCGUGCUUAACACAUGCAAGUCGAACGAAGUGGCGAACGGGUGAGUAACGCGUAAUCAACCUGCCCUUCAGAGGGGGACAACGGUUGGAAACGACUGCUAAUACCGCAUACUAUAGGAGGGGACUGCGUCUGAUUAGCUAGUUGGGUGGGUAACGGCCAACCAAGGCGAUGAUCAGUAGCCGGUCUGCGAGGAUGAACCGCCCCCUUUGGACUGAGAAACGGCCCAGCCUCCUACGGGAGGCAGCAGUGGGGAAUCUUCCGCCAUGGACGAAAGUCUGACGGCGCAACGCCGCGUGAGUUAUGACGGCCUUCGGGUUUUAAAGCUCUGUUAAUCGGGACGCGGUACCGGAAUAGAAAGCCACGGCUAACUACGUGCCAGCAGCCGCGGUAAUUC
rnacentral:rRNA from 1 species